UUAUCGAGGUAUAAAUAUUUUUAUUUCAGCAAGUAAACUGUGUAAAAUUAAAACACUAUUAUAAUUUUACAAUUUAAAUGAUAGAUUUAAAUGCGAACUUAAGAAAAAACGAAUAACUGCAAUAUGCAAAGCAACAAAACUGACUUUUUCUAAAAGACAACCGCUCUCCUCCCAAAUUUAAAAACAGAGGCAGAGACUAAAAUACAUACUUAGAAUACAUCUUGCUUCUGCCUUCUUCAAGUUAGCUGAAGAUGUGUUUUAGCUCCACUGUGAUACACAUUUAUAGCUUUUAUCUUUAUGCCAUUAAAACUGACAACAUAGAAUUAAAAGCCAAGUCACAUUUGGUAAGAGCUGCAUUUAUUAUACUCAGUUAUUGAUAUAAAAAAAAAAAAAUGUAAAACCACAAUGAAAACAUUGUUUUGCUGACAUGAAUGGAAACACAGAAAUCUGAAAGAAAUACUAAAAACAUUAUGGAAAAUGCUGAAAUACUACAAAUUUUUAAACAGCAAGACUGGGUGAGGUGCAUACAUUGGUGACAUAUAAAUAAAAGUGUCAGAAUAAGAAAAAAUCCAUAACAAUUUUUUAUUAUAAACACAAAUGCCCCAAUUUUGUGUUUAUAAUAAAAUUACAUAUCUAUUAUUUAUUUAUUACUGGCAUUUAUAAAGCACCAACAUAGUCCAUAGCACUGUACAAUUUUGAAAAAGACAAUACAGUGUAAACAUACCAAUAUAAAAGGUAGAGGACCCUGCCCGUGAGUUUACAAUCUAAAGGUUAAAAUGGGGAGAUGAGACAAGAGGUAGCAGAGGAAUUUGAAGGUGAUGGCAGAGAGAAUUAAUAAUAUAAUUGCAGUAAUUAAUAACAAUUGAUAGGAAGGUGAUUGACUGAGAUUCCAAACAGCUAGAAGAGCAUGCUCUAUAGUUAGCAGGAACAAGUGGGGGCAGGUGGGUGGGUUGGUUGAGCAGAGUAAAAUUGAAGAGGCUUGUUGCAGACAAGGUUUGGGAAUUGGAAAUAGAAAUAGAUAACACUUAUAUUGCAUUAAAGGAUCACUAUAGUGUCAGGAAAACAAAGCGGUUUUCCUGACACUAUAGUGCCCUGAGGGUGCCCCCACCCUCAGGGUCCCCCUCCCGUGGCGCUGAAGGGGUUAAAACCACUUCAGCAACUUACCUUAAUCCAGCGCCAGGCUCCCUCGGCGCUGGUGACCUCUCCUCCCCGUCCGACGUCAGCUCCCCCCUCAGACGUUACUGGAGCCGAAUGCGCAGCACAAAAUGUCCAUAGGAAAGCAUUUCUCAAUGCUUUCCUAUGGACGCUCUGCGCAAUGGAGGCGAAAUUCGCCUCCAGCGUCGCAGAUGCGCCUCUAGUGGCUGUCCGGAAGACAGCCACUAGAGGCUGGCUUAACCCAAAAUGUAACUGCUAUGUUUGCAUCUGAAGGGUAAAACCUGAGGGACCUGGCACCCAGACCACUUCAUUGAGCUGAAGUGGUCUGGGUGACUGUAGUGUCCCUUUAAGAAAUGUAGACAUCUAGACAUUAUGAUGUGUAAUGUCUAAAGGCGAUUAGAGAUCUGUUGUUAAUUCAGCUGAAACAAUAUGUCCUGAACACUUUAUAAGAGAGACCUGUUCUAUAAAAAAUGAGAGUAUCAUUUCAUUGUAACAAGAUAGAGGAUCAUUGUACCUUUGCAUGUCAGAGGCUAAAGGGCUUCAGACAGAUAACAUUAGGUUUCAACGUACAUAAAAAAUAAAUAAAAAAAUGUUGAUUUCUGUCUUUCACCCUUUUUUUAGGUGAAAUAUCUCUUUCAAGAAUAUGUAAAUAGAUAUGCCAGUAACGGAGAUUAAUGGUAUAUUGGGAAGGGACUGCCUUCUGUGCGUCUGCUCUACUGCAUUUUUUUUUGUCUAAUUAUUAUAGGAAAAUUUCUUACUUUAACAUAGUUCUCUAAAAUGUAUAUUAGUUGUGAUAACAGUUUUCCAAUCAAGAAAUAAGUCAUUAUAGUGAAAGAGAUUUGUAAUGAUAACAAUGACCUUACCUACCCAAGUUAACCAUUAACCAAAAAGAAAACAAUAUAUCUUGUGUUCAGCUACCCUCGCUCAUCUAAAAGAUGACCCCCCUCAGUCAUUGUAACUUCACUAAUAUUGCUGGUUUAGCUAUCACUGUGAUCAAUUAGAAUAUCCCCUGCCGCGUGUAAUACACCUGCAAACAACAUUUUGUUGUUAGGCUAUCCAUGAAACCUGAUUGUGUGAGCCAUGAUGACUGGGUUCAGAGCUCGUACAUUGCACAAUGAGAUUAAGACACAGACAAGAUGACUGCACAUGCAAAUGGACCAAAUAGGAUUAAAAGAAAAUUAGAGGCACACUUAAGUAUGCGGAGUAAAUGCUUACUAAAUGCAGAAUAUCACUUAGCGUGAGUUGUGUGGAUAAUUUUGUUGUUGAAAGGUUCAGUUACACUCUAGAAAAAUUCUCCUAAACUCUUUACAAUGAAUUAGUGUGGUAUUUUGUGCAACUCUGUGUCUGAUUUUAAGUUUUUUUUCUGCUGUUGUAUAUACAUAACUAUAUAUGUGAGCAUAUAUCUAAAAUUGUGAUCUUUCGUCCAAACUACAAUAUCUGAAUGAUGAAUUCUUGCUUAAAGGACCACUAUAGUGCCAGGAAAACAUACUCGUUUUCCUGGCACUAUAGUGCCCUGAGGGUGCCCCCACCCUCAGGGACCCCCUCCCACCCGGCUCUGGAAGGGAGAAAGGGGUAAAAACUUACCUUUUUCCAGCGCUGGGCGGGGAGCUCUCCUCCUC
rnacentral:lncRNA from 1 species